AUACUUACCUGGGGAAAAGGAGAUACCGUGAUCACGAAGGGGGUUCCCCCAAGGCGAGGCUUUACCCUUGCACUCCGGUUCGCUGAAACCCCUUGGGGGAUUAACCCAAAUUGGUUUGGGGCGCACUUUUUUUAAGGGGGGGGAACCCCCGUUCGCGCUAUCCCCCC